AUUUAGCGUUUUAUGUACCUAUUAACGUAAGUGAUUUAAAUUUCUUGUUCUGAAUCGCAAUAUGUUUUGGCAUAGCAAAGGCAGAUGCGACGUGUAAAAACCUAACCAAAAUAUAUUACUCAUCAGAGUGCAGCGAUCUGAAACGUAAUAUCAUUUGGCAAUACGCGGCCAGAUAACAUGAGUGAAAAGGCAAUCCGAGGUGAACUAUUUUCGAGAGAAAACCAGCUGCUGCAGUGUCUGUUUACGAUAAUUAUGGCAACACUAAGCCAACAAAAAGCAAUCUGAGAAGUCUGCGAGUUUCAGGAAGGAAGUUUCACCCAGAAUUUUUUGACCAGGCAUACAAGGAACACAUUAUAUGUCACAUUGAACACAUUGAAUUUUGAAGAAUAUACCUCUUAUAGAGAACAAAGUAAUAGGGAAGUCGAUUAUGCUUGUCAGAUCCAAAAUAAAUUUGAGAAUGGAGGAUAACAUAUAUUUUACAAUUGUAACAGGAGAAACAUCAGAGGAUUUAAUAGCUUAUGUAAAAUGAGAAACAUUAAGUCUGGGGGAAGCAUAUGCAUCAAGGGACAUGCUCCUCAAGAAUUUUAGUUAAGGUUUUAAAGAAUGGAUCAGUUGUGAUCAGAAGUGCUAGUUUAUAAUAUUAUAUAACCAUAUUUAUAAUAUGGUUAUAACCAAGCUAGAUGGAUUUAGUUUCUUCUCUACCAUUUUAGUUUUAAGUUGUUGAUAUAAUAUAAUAUAAUACAUUUUAAUAUAGUAUAGAGUCCAUAGUAUAGUUUAUUAUAAAAUAUGUUAUUAUAAAAUUUAAAGUAUAUUUGCUAAAGGUUAAAACAUUUCAGUAAGCUAGUCGACAUUAAGAUAUUUAAUAAAUAUGAUGGGAAUUGUUUAAUUUCAAAACUUUCAUCACAAUACUCAAACCUCAAAAUAUUUAUGAAAUAUUUACUUCUUUUGGCCGCUAUGAUGAUGCAUCAUCAUUUUUUGUCAUCAUUGAUUUUAUCAAAACA